CCGAGUUAUCCAACUCCUAACCCCUGUGAAUUAUACCUUUAAUUGUUGCUUCGGCGGGACUUCGCGCCCGCCGGGGACCCAAACCUUCUGAAUUUUUUAAUAAGUAUCUUCUGAGUGGUUAAAAAAAUGAAUCA
rnacentral:misc_RNA from 1 species